UUAAAAGCAUAAAGUGGAUGCCUCGACUCCAGAUUCCGAUGAAGGACGUGGUUAGCUGCGAUAAUCUUCGGCGAGCUGCUAAGCAAGCUUUGACCCGGAGGUCUCCGAAUGGGGAAACCCACCUGCCGUCAUGGGUAGGUACGGUACGCUGAAUAAAUAGGCGUAUCGAGGACACUUGGUGAACUGAAACAUCUUAGUAACCAAGGAAAAUAAAUCAAUAGAGAUUCCCUUAGUAGUGGCGAGCGAACAGGGAAUAGUCCAAACCAAUUGCUACGGCGAUUGGGGUUGUAGGGCCUCAACACGAAUUCUAUUUCUAUUAGCCAAACGACCCUGGAAAGGGCGGCCAUAGAGGGUGAUAGCCCCGUCGGCGAAAAUAGGAUAGCGUUCCAGAGUGUCCCUGAGUAGGGUCGGACACGUGUAAUCCGGCUUGAACCUGGGAGGACCACCUUCCAAGACUAAAUAGAUCUGGAGAUCUAUAGCGAACAAGUACCGUGAGGGAAAGGUGAAAAGCACCCCGAGAGGGGGAUGAAAUAGUCCCUGAAACUUUAUGCUUAUAAAGAGUCGGAGCCUUCGGGUGACGGCGUACUUUUUGUAGAACGGGCCAACGAGUUUGCUGUACGGCGCUUGGUUAAGGGAGUAAUACCCGGAGCCAUAGUGAAAGCGAGGGUGAAUAACCCGAUUGUGUCGUGCACAAGACCCGAAACUGAGUGAGCUAACCAUGGCCAGGCUGAAGCGCGAGUAAAAUCGCGUGGAGGGCCGCACCAACCUACGUUGUAAAGUGGGUGGAUGAGCUGUGGUUAGGGGUGAAAAGCCUAUCGAACUCAGAGAUAGCUGGUUCUCCUCGAAAUAGCUUUAGGGCUAGCCUUAUGUUAAUAGCAGUAGGGGUAGAGCUCUGUUUGGGCUAGGGGGCGAAAUAAGUCUACCAAACCCAGAUAAACUUCGAAUACUACCGUGAAUUUCAUAGGAGUCAGACUAUGACAGCGAAGUGCCAUAGUCGAAAGGGAAACAGCCCAGAUCACCAUCUAAGGUCCCUAAUAAAGAUUAAGUGGUAAAGGAUGUGAAAUCGCGUAUACAGCCAGGAGGUUGGCUUAGAAGCAGCCAUUCCUUUAAAGAGUGCGUAACAGCUCACUGGUCUAUGCGUUUUCGCGCCUAAAAUAUAACGGGGCUAAAUCUUUAACCGAAGAUGUGAGUGGCACAUAAUUGAUUGUGUCGCGGUAGAGGAGCGUUCCUGUCAGCGUCGAAGCAGAAUUGUAAAGUUCUGUGGAGCGUCAGGAAGUGAAAAUGUUGGCAUGAGUAACGAAAUUCAAGUGAGAAACUUGAACACUGAAUACCCAAGGUUUCCCAAGCAAUGUUAAUCAGCUUGGGGUUAGUCGGGCCUAAGGCGAGGCCGAGAGGCGUAGUCGAUGGACAACUGGUUAAUAUUCCAGUACAACUUAAUAUUCGCCAGAGCAAGUCUAGAUGACUCUCGUUUUCAACCGUAGAGGACUUCGGUCUAAUAUGGGAGAUUCUGAGAGCCUGAAAGAGGCGCUAGCUCAGGAGGGACGCGGUUGGAUAUCUGAAGCGUGUUAAUGAAUUCACGUGCAAGUUGUUAGUUUAUGCUCUUCGAGGUAAAUCCCUUAGAGUUCACGAGCAACGAUGCAAAAUGUUCUGCCUUUGGCGGAAUGAUUUUAGAGAUUUCGACUGACGAGAAAAACUUCGGUAGCGAGAAUAUUAGGUUUCCGUACCCCAAACCAACGCAGGUGGGUAGGUCGAGUAGACCAAGGUGAUCGAGAUAACUAACGUUAAGGAACUCGGCAAAAUAGCAGGUGUAACUUCGGGAUAAACCUUGCCUUACUGAUUUUUAAUUGGUGAGGCCGCAGCUAACGAUUCCACGCAACUGUUUACCAAAAACACAGGUCUCUGCUAAGUCGUAAGACUAUGUAUAGGGGCUGACGCCUGCCCAGUGCCAGAAGGUCACGAGGAUGGGUUCACGCCUUGAAUCUAAGCCCUGGUGAACGGCGGCCGUAACUAUAACGGUCCUAAGGUAGCGAAAUUCCUUGUCAGGUAAGUUCUGACCCGCACGAAUGGCGUAAUGAUGUGGAAACUGUCUCAACGUUAGACUCGGUGAAAUUGCAAAACUGGUAAAAAUGCCAGUUAAUCGUGGAAAGACGGAAAGACCCCAUGGAGCUUUACUAUAACUUGACAUUGGUUCUGGGUAUAGCCUGUGCAGAAUAGGUGGGAGACUUUGAAGCUUGGACGCCAGUCCGAGUGGAGUCACCUUUGAGAUACCACCCCUGCUAUACUUAGGAUCUAACUGAUGCCGUUAAGCCGGCAGCUAGGACAGUGUUUGGUGGGUAGUUUGACUGGGGCGGUCGCCUCCUAAAGAGUAACGGAGGCGCGCAAUGGUUCUCUAGAGCCGGAUGGAAACCGGUUUGAUAGUGUAAACGCAUAAGAGAGCUUAACUGCAAGACAUACAAGUCGAGCAGAUGCGAAAGCAGGUGUUAGUGAUCCGAUAGUGGCACGUGGGUGCGCUAUCGCUCAACGGAUAAAAGUUACCCUGGGGAUAACAGGCUUAUAGAUUCCAAGAGUUCACAUCGACGAAUCUGUUUGGCACCUCGAUGUCGGCUCGUCCUAUCCUGGGGCUGGAGAAGGUCCCAAGGGUUUGGCUGUUCGCCAAUUAAAAGGGUACGCGAGCUGGGUUCAGAACGUCGUGAGACAGUUCGGUCCUUAUCUUCCAUGAUCGUAGGAUUUUUGAGGGAAGCUGCCCCUAGUACGAGAGGACCGGGGUGGACGAACCUCUGGUGUAUCUGUUGUCGUGUCAUCGGCAUUGCAGAGUAGCUACGUUCGGAUGGAUAACCGCUGAAAGCAUCUAAGUGGGAAGCCAUGCCCAAGAUUAAAGAUCCCCAUGAGUCCCCCUGAAGAUUACAGGGUUGAUAGGCUACAGAUGUACGCACAGUGAUGUGUUUAGUCGAGUAGUACUAAUGGACCAUUGACUUAUUU
rnacentral:rRNA from 1 species